rnacentral:rRNA from 1 species
GAUGAACGCUAGCGGGAGGCCUAACACAUGCAAGCCGAGCGGGAUUUGUUGGUUAGCUUGCUAACUAACAAUGAGAGCGGCGUACGGGUGCGUAGCACGUGUGCAACCUGCCUUUAUCUGGGGGAUAGCCUUUCGAAAGGAAGAUUAAUACCCCAUAACAUAUUGAUUGGCAUCAGUUAAUAUUGAAAGCUCCGGCGGAUAGAGAUGGGCACGCGUAAGAUUAGCUAGUUGGUGAGGUAACGGCUCACCAAGGCUGCGAUCUUUAGGGGGCCUGAGAGGGUGAUCCCCCACACUGGUACUGAGACACGGACCAGACUCCUACGGGAGGCAGCAGUGAGGAAUAUUGGACAAUGGGUGAGAGCCUGAUCCAGCCAUCCAGCGUGAAGGACUAAGGACCUAUGGUUUGUAAACUUCUUUUAUACAGGGAUAAACCUACUCUCGUGAGGGUAGCUGAAGGUACUGUAUGAAUAAGCACCGGCUAACUCCGU